UAAUUUUCAAAAUUGAAUCAAGUUUGCUUUUUGACCAUUUAGUUGCAAAAGUUAUGCACAUUUGUUGUAUUUCAUUUACCUUUAUAUACAUUUGUUGACUGAUUCUCAUUCAUUCUGGUUCUAAAUUAACUAUUUCCAAAGUCAAAUUGAUAACUUUGUCACUUUCAAAAAAUUUGUUUCCCAUUGCCAAAGUUCACGCUGCAUCAUCUCUCUUCCUAACAUUAUCUCUCUAUUCCUCUUCUUCUUUCUUCUCUAAUCCAUAUCUUCCCAUUCUUAUUUCUUCUCUCUACCGCUGUUUGUACGAACAUCAUCUCUCUCUUCCUUUUCUUCUUUUUUCUCUCUUCCUUUUCUUCAACGGUAACUAUAAGGUUGUUGGGGUACCGAUCGAAAUAGGGGAGACGACGACAGUUGUGACGUUUUCGGUGAUAUGCAGUUUCGCGGUGAUAGAUCUGACUGGUUCUGCUAACAAUUUAGUUCGCAUGUUUGAUCGCCAAAAACUAAAUGGUCACAGGGUUGGGUCUCCCUAAUAAAAUUGGCUUUGCAAGUAUGACUCUAGAAAUUCCAUUUUUGAGUGGUUUGCUCAAUACGACGACAAGCUAGCUUAAGCAAACAAGUUUUGGUUAUGAAAUUCUUAUUUUCGUUUUAUAAAGCUCCACAGCAUUACAAUAUUUCAAAUUUUGUCACAAACGUAUCCUUUUGUAUAUGAAUGGACUCUAUGCACCAUGGAAGUAUUAAUGCGGCAUAUUGUGUGGGACUAAUGAAAGCUAACGAGAUUUACUACAACAAAUCGCGUGAAACGGUUAUUAUAUUAUCGCACAAACAUAUUGAUUGCUAAUUUUACAUAAAUGAGGGAUGUCUUAAAAAUGUAAAUUUCUGAGUAUGGUAAAUGUUUUGAUUAAGAGUUUUUGAGCAGCAACCAGCCUCCAAACCUAUUGUCAGGGAAAUGGCUUAAUUUCAAAACAAGCAGGAUCAAAGAUAGUAUUGGAUUCUGGCUCCCACACCCUAGGAUAUGUUUUAGUAUAUUGGGGGAUAGCUUCCAGUAUGUUCUUUAUGUUAAUUAGUCGGUUCUGAAUUUUGAGUUAAUAAUGUUGUUGCUGUCAAUUACUUUAUAUUGAUUAUCACGUAGGUAUUUUUCUGAAUUGUUGAAUUAAACAAAGUAAGAUAAAGUUUACGCAUA